rnacentral:lncRNA from 1 species
AGUCUAGAUGGAGGAGCCCUCCACUGUGGAUCCUUGUGUGUGCAGGCUCAGGGAAGUCCAGGCUCCAGUCACCCCUGCUGAAUGAAAACACAGCUCACUCUCACCUUCCUCAGACCAAAAUCUGCAUGAGUCCGAGUUCUCCAGAGAAAUAGACCGAGAGAGAGAGAGAGAGAGAGAUUGAUUUCAGAGAAUUUUUUCACUCCUUUGUGGGGCUGGGAAAUCUGAAGUCUGCAGACCAGCAGGCUGGAAAUUCAGUUUUCCAGCUCUGCCCCCGUCUUUGCCACUAAAUCUGCAGUGUCUAUUGCUGGCCGUGGUCUCCCCGCUCCAGACGCCUUUCUGCCUGCAUUGAGGAGAGAGACACUGACCCUGAUGGGAAGCUUCCACACAUGUGCAGGGGGCCCGCCCGUGGUGAGGUCUCUGCAGCAUGAUGGGGCUGGAAGCUGGCGGCUUUGUUGUGGUUAUCUAUAAAUCUUCUGUUUGGGAACAGCCAGGCCUUUUCCUGAGUGGUCAAGUUUUCAUUUUAGAGAGGAUUAGGAGAGAGAAGGAAUGAACACUGUGUGAGGUCCGCCAUGUUUAACCAGAAGUCCCUGUUAUCUGCUUAAUGACACCUUUCCAGAAGAAGAAUUGCUGGGUCAAAAGCCAUGCGUGUUUCACACGGCGAGUCGCGUUAAACUGUCCACCGGAAAAGUGCACUGACUUUUUUUAGCAGCAAGUAAGCGGGAGGGUUGCUCUUAUUUUAUAAAUGCUAUUUUUCUUUUGUAUGAUAAAAGAGACUUAUUUUUGAGGCAACACAUGAUGACACCAGCGUAUUUUAAUUGGUACACUUCAUUAUAGAGCAUCAGAAAAAUAAAAUCAGUGUGACGAGGCAGCAGCCCCAGAAGGCGGCCACUCAUUGCAGCCACUGCCGGCCUGUGCUUUGUGAGCUGGACGGUUCUCUUGCCUCGUUCCAGCCUCAGUCUGCCUAAAAGUGGAUAUUCCAGACAGGAAAUGUGUCUAGCCUGAUGGUGAAGACUGUCUGGAGGAUGGUUGGUUUUGAGGGGGAUGAUGAUUUUGCAGGAAGGUUUCACAAAAUUUGUCCAAGGUGGAUUUCUGCUGUUGCUAAAUUUUCCUGGUGUGCUAGGCAGGACAAUGGUGGGAAAGUAAACCUGGAGUAAGAGAAAACACUCAGACUUCCCAAAGUAGACGAGAGAAACUUUGCGUUUUGCAAGGGAGGCGAGUGGAAGACCCUGUUGCAAUUGUCUUGUGUUUCCAUUUUGCUCAGUGAAGCCGAGUUUGCCCCGGGCCAACUGUGCUUGUCAGAUGUGUGUGCUGGGGUGGGGCACCGCCAUUAUUAAUGGCAUAAGGUGGUGGGGUACAGGCAGGAGCAACUUGGAAAUGGAAGCUCUGUGUCUUCCUUCGGGCAGCUGAUUGCACUGGCUUGUCGAGAAGGUGUGGGUGUCUGGAAAGCGCCUAUGAGGACCAGUAGUCAGGGGGCCAGCAGGAGCCACGGUGAAGAGAGACUGUUGCUAGUCAGGGAGCCGGCAGGAGCCACGGUGAAGAGAGACUGUUGCUCGGGGUCUCCCAGGAUAGACCGAGUUGGGAACUAACUAGGUGGUCCCCAUUGCCAUGGAGACAACCUUCCCAGACAGCGAUGGGGAAUGGUGAACAGUCCACGAGGGAGACGCCGAUUCAGGCUUCAGAUGCAAUUUCCUGGGAUCCCUCGCUUACAUUUUCUGCUCUUUGCUGAGUUCCGCUUUUCUCUCUAUGUCUCCUUUGUUUUCUAUUGUGUAUUCUCUCCUUCUGGGGAGGAAGUGUGGGAAGCAGUGAAGAGGUCCUGCUCUGGAGAUGAGGAGCCGGGUUGAAGGAAGAGUUGAGCACAGCGGACCUGGCAGGUGGGGGUGUCCAGAGAGGCUGUGGCUGUGCAGAGCAGCCGCCUGGGGGAGGCGUGCAGAAUUGAGUCUGAACACAUGGCCUUUCUGGUGCAUCCGGCUAGAUUGGGAAUGUGUUGGUCUAUCUCCCUUAGCAGCCCUGGUCCAAGGAGUACAAUCAGAGAGAUAUAAGCCAAUCACUCCAAGUUGUCAUCUUUCUCUUCACCGUGCCUGGAAGAGGAAGGUAACUGUUUUGGUUUGUUAGAAAAGAAAUACCAACCCAGCAGCUGAGAGAUUUCCCCAGUGGACAGGCCUGUGUUUGGGAAGGAAAGUUAAAGCCAGUGGAUUUCUAGUUCGCUUGUUUUCUCUAACAAGAUAUCAGAAGGGCUGCAGAAUCCAGUUAAUCCAUCCAGUGGUAUUUUUGAGAUGAGGUAGCAGGUGCUUCAGAGCCAGAAAGACAGACUGUGGGUGGCUCAUCCAGAGGCUCACUGAGGAUUCUGCACCACAGAUCUGUGUCCAGCAAACAAAGGAGCUGGGGUCAGAGCCAGUGAAACACAGGACCAUUCCCCA